GGGUGGAUUCUGCUGUAUCCCUCAGCGCUCCAUGUGCGUCCCUCCCCAAGCGGCGCGCUCGGUGGAAGAGGACGACCAUCCCAGAUCGAAGGAGGGUCCCCUUCUUCGGUCAAGGGCAUGCGAUAGUUGCGCUCCCUUGCUAGAACCUGCAAACCUUUGGCUAAGCAUCUUCCAAGAACACCAUUUGAGACAUAGUGCACCAUUGCCUUACUUGGAUGUGUCUGGAGUCUUGGA